ensembl:lncRNA
CUUCCUCCAGGACCGACCUGCUCAGGCUGGGAGCCCCCCAGGGCUUUGCAGAAGGCGAUGGUGGGAUCUCCCAGAGGUCCUUAUGGCACUGAUCUCUGCCCGUGGAGCUUCUGGUGACAGCACAUUAAAGAGAAGAGCACGGUUCUAAAGCUGUGAAAGUUGGAGACACUUCUUCCCAUCUGCUGACUUCUGUGCAGUGGGUGCUUUGUAAGGAUGUGGAGCUACUAGAUCCAGGCCUUGCUGGGGAAGCUCACUGUUCUGAGGAAGGGUUUAGAUGGAGUCUGAUGAGUUGUGUGCUGACUGAGAGAGGCUUCAGCUGAAAAGCUGGGUGGCUAAUGCCAUUGUCAAGCCUCCGCGGAGCAGUUUGGCCACCUGCUACUCCCUCUGGAUGGCAACAGGAUGCUUACUAGAAGGCUUAUUGGGAAGAGAAUAUGCUUUCAGGAAACCUAUGUGAGUGGGAUUCUCAGGAGAUAACAAUGAACAGUGGUUGGUGGGGGUUUUUGUUUGUUUUUGUUUUUUGUUUUUUUCCCCUAAUAAAUUUCAGCUAAGAAGGCUCUAGGAUUUUUUAAAUUAUUACUAUUAAAGUAUGCCUUGCCUUCUUGCUUAGCACUUUGUCGUAAUUGCCAGACCACAUCGUGUCUUUGGUCUGUGUUGGAUUAAUCUUGAGGGCUGGAUGUGGAACCAGUAGCAGGAUAUGGCCCUAAAAACCAGCAGCCUUUGCUUCUUGCAGGGAAGUGACUAUCUAUGGCAGCCCUUCUACAGGCAGAGUGACACCCUCCACUGAAGGAGAGUGAGCGCAAGGUUUUCCAACAGUUGGGGGGUGGGGCUCAGAAAUCUAUUGUGCAUUCGUUUCCAGUAAAUAUAUUAUGAGCUACCUGGUGUUAUUAGAUCUAAUCACAAGAGUUUUCCUCUUAAAGCUGUGGCUGGAUUUAUGUUGAUCACUUUAAAACAAAUGUCACAGAUAUAUUUAAUAGAAGUAUGUGUAAAACCCCAACCCCCAAAUGGUAUUAUGUAACCCAUACAGUAUUUAAGUGCCCCCUGUGUAAACUAACUGAAAAGCCUGCUGUUUGCCUUCUUUGCCUCUGUUGUGUAUCUGUCAACCAAAGCCAGGCACGCUGUUUGCUGUUCUGAUUACUAUUUUAAAAGGCCAGAUCCAUAGGAUCAUGUUUUCUAGAAAGUGAAAAAGACUUAAACUCCAUUUUCUGGGCUUAGAGGGCUCUGGGGCUGAGUGAGAGUCCUCUCAUGGGCUGCCCAGAGUGAAUUGCCAAGCAAGCUUGUGCUGUUUGAAAGCAUGCACACACAAUGUACUUUGUCCUUUUAUUUUGGCAUGGUCAGGGCAGUCCUUCUCAGUGGCUUCACAACAGCCUCAGCCAUGGGGUUCAGCUAAGCUCAGCAAAGGUGAAGAUGUGUGAGGUCAUGGAGGUGGUGGAAGAUGGUGAUACAUGUCUAAAGAUGGAAUCAGGUGAAAACUAAGAGGUGGAUUUCCUCUUGCUUUUAGCCAAACAGCGUUUGCAGGCUUUCCCCCUAAUUCAUUGUUAUUUAUCUGCCAUCAGCUCCUUGCCCAGUCAAGUCCUUUAUUCAAGGUGCUGGAUCUCAGGAGCACAGUGGUUUCCCAUUAUUGUUAUAGUCUUUAGCCAAAGAGAUGUCCCUCUUUCUCAGUAAUGCACCAAAGUGGAAGUAAUCACUCUUUUUUUCUUCUUGCAUUUGUCCUUUCCUGUUUCAUUCACCAAUUGAAAAAUGGCUAAAGAGCAGCCCCCAUUUCACCUCCCCUUUUCCGUGAUUGACUCAGCAGCUCCUGGGACAGAGAGAGGAAAGGGGCCUCGAGGUCACAACCUUCACAAUCUUCAAAGCCCCUGCCGCUUCCAGCAGCUGUCACAGCUCUCACUGACCAUAUCCCCAGAAGGUCAGCAAAAAAAUAAACACUGGGGCCCGAAUUAUCCCCUUCUCAUGCAAACUGUCCAUUUCCCUCCCCAGCUCCCAUUCCAUGCAUAGCUCACACAUUGGAGACCCCCUUGGAUUUGCACAGAGCUAUGCAAGAGCAAAAUGCCACAGAAAAGAAAAGCAGAAGGGCUUCCUGGGCAGGCAGAGUGGGAAAAAGAAAAGCAGCUUCCUGAGCUUUCCAUGCCCACCCACAGGCUGCUGCAGCCAUUUUGUGUUCGCAAAGCCUGGAGGUGAAGCUGGGGAAGGGGCUGACUUUUCCCUGGGAGACUGCAGGGAAGCAUUCAGCUUUUAUAUCUGCUUGUGCAUGUGAGAGAUGGAAGAAAGAGAGAAUCCAACAGAAAUAGGAAAUUAAGCAUGGACUGGAAAAGCCUUUCAUCGGGAUUAGAUUGCAUCCCCCUCCUCCAGCUUUCUGCACUCACCUUCCUCUGCAAAAACUCAUGAUGAAGCAGGAACAGGGCCCCGAAGUGCAGGUUCAAAAGGCCAGAGUGGAAAGGUCCUUUGCUAAAGGAAAUAGCCCUCCCCAGCCUUCUUUUAUAGAAGUAUCCAUUUCACCAUGGCCACUAAUAAUCAGAGGACUAUUUCCUGGCCUUCCCAGCACAGCUCCCAGCCACACCACCAGUCUGAUGUCCAUUACUGUAAACAGCUCACCCAAUUCUCCCCUCAGCCCCGCUGCUCAACCCGGCACAGGGACAUGCUUCGAGCCUGUUUUUUAGGCUGCGUGGCUAAGGAAGACACUCAUCUUCCAUUUUCACCCACUUCCCACAAAGAACAAGCGGGCUAUUAGCACGCUGGACGACCCGACAAAAACCCGUCGAGGGGCCGCCGCUGGGGAGGCAGGAGGGGCUGGAGACCUGCAAGAAAACCCGCCCGGAAGAAAAGGCAGUGACGGGAACGUGGGAAGGCACUUUAUUUACGCGGAUGGCCAAGGCCGGACUGCUCUCCUAGCACUGCGCGUUCCGACAGAGCGAGCAGCGCGGCGACCCCCGCCCCGCUCGAGUGGCUCUUGGGGGCCCGGCGGGACGGCCCGUCUCUUCCCCGGCCGCUGUUACACCGGCUGGGCCCGGCUCUCGCCGCUCCCCGGCGCACUGACGCCCUUUCAUUAUUGCACUGCUCGCUGCGACCGUGACAGUAGUGCAACAGGGAAAGAGGGGCAGCCCGCCCGGUGGCCCUGGCCGCCGGACUGGGGCACGGAGGGAGAGCCCGGGCUUUGAGGUGGGGGGGGGAUUGCCUGGCUUUGUCCCUUAGCUGGUCGCCUCCCCUCGGAGUGAUGCCCGGGGGGUUACGUAGAGGGCAGGGCCGGGGUCGGGCGAGCAGGCGGGAGGCAGCGGUCCUGUAGGGCUUCUCGCCCUCCCGCGCCCACCACCGCGGAGAGAACACGGCCCCGCGCUGCCCGGAGAG